UAAAUAUUUUGAAUGUCGAAAAUAUAUAAAUGAAGUAUGAAUGUGUAAAGGUAUACAUUCAUACUUCAUUUAUAUAUUUUCGACAUUCAAAAUAUUUA